rnacentral:rRNA from 1 species
CGAAAAAUAACGAUACGGGACUCAUCCGAGGCCCCGUAAUCGGAAUGAGUACACUCUAAACCCUUUAACGAGGAUCAAUUGGAGGGCAAGUCUGGUGCCAGCAGCCGCGGUAAUUCCAGCUCCAAUAGCGUAUAUUAAAGUUGUUGCGGUUAAAAAGCUCGUAGUCGAACUUGUGUCCCGCGCCGCCGGUUCAUCGCUCGCGGUGUUAACUGGCGUGUCCGCGGGACGUCCUGCCGGUGGGCUUAGCUCUUCGUUGGGCGGCCCUAUUUCAAUCCCACCGCGGUGCUCUUCACUGAGUGUCGAGGUGGGCCGGCACGUUUACUUUGAACAAAUUAGAGUGCUUAAAGCAGGCUAAAACAUCGCCUGAAUACUGUGUGCAUGGAAUAAUGGAAUAGGACCUCGGUUCUAUUUUGUUGGUUUUCGGAACCCCGAGGUAAUGAUUAAUAGGAACGGAUGGGGGCAUUCGUAUUGCGACGUUAGAGGUGAAAUUCUUGGAUCGUCGCAAGACGGACAGAAGCGAAAGCAUUUGCCAAAAACGCUUUCAUUGAUCAAGAACGAAAGUUAGAGGUUCGAAGGCGAUCAGAUACCGCCCUAGUUCUAACCAUAAACGAUGCCAGCUAGCGAUCCGCCGACGUUCCUCCGAUGACUCGGCGGGCAGCUUCCGGGAAACCAAAGCUUUUGGGUUCCGGGGGAAGUAUGGUUGCAAAGCUGAAACUUAAAGGAAUUGACGGAAGGGCACCACCAGGAGUGGAGCCUGCGGCUUAAUUUGACUCAACACGGGAAACCUCACCAGGCCCGGACACCGGAAGGAUUGACAGAUUGAGAG